rnacentral:rRNA from 1 species
UACGUAGGGUGCGAGCGUUGUCCGGAUUUAUUGGGCGUAAAGAGCUCGUAGGCGGUCUGUCGCGUCGGAUGUGAAGACCCAGGGCUCAACCCUGGGCCUGCAUUCGAUACGGGCAGACUAGAGUACGGCAGGGGAGACUGGAAUUCCUGGUGUAGCGGUGAAAUGCGCAGAUAUCAGGAGGAACACCGGUGGCGAAGGCGGGUCUCUGGGCCGAAACUGACGCUGAGGAGCGAAAGCGUGGGGAGCGAACAGG